UACGUAGGGUGCAAGCGUUAAUCGGAAUUACUGGGCGUAAAGCGCACGUAGGCGGCUUUGUAAGUUAGAGGUGAAAGCCCGGGGCUCAACCCCGGAAUUGCCUUUAAGACUGCAUCGCUUGAAUCCGGGAGAGGUGAGUGGAAUUCCGAGUGUAGAGGUGAAAUUCGUAGAUAUUCGGAAGAACACCAGUGGCGAAGGCGGCUCACUGGCCCGGUACUGACGCUGAGGUGCGAAAGCGUGGGGAGCAAACAGG
rnacentral:rRNA from 1 species